rnacentral:rRNA from 1 species
GUGGGGAAUCUUGCGCAAUGGGCGAAAGCCUGACGCAGCCAUGCCGCGUGAAUGAUGAAGGUCUUAGGAUUGUAAAAUUCUUUCACCGGGGACGAUAAUGACGGUACCCGGAGAAGAAGCUCCGGCUAACUUCGUGCCAGCAGCCGCAGUAAUACGAAGGGGGCUAGCGUUGCUCGGAAUUACUGGGCGUAAAGGGCGCGUAGGCGGACAGCUUAGUCAGAGGUGAAAGCCCAGGGCUCAACCUUGGAAUUGCCUUUGAUACUGGCUGUCUUGAGUUUGGGAGAGGUGAGUGGAACUCCGAGUGUAGAGGUGAAAUUCGUAGAUAUUCGGAAGAACACCAGUGGCGAAGGCGACUCACUGGCCCAAUACUGACGCUGAGGCGCGAAAGCGUGGGGAGCAAACAGGAUUAGAUACCCCGGUAGUCC